rnacentral:lncRNA from 1 species
AUAUAUAUUUUUUAUCCUAAAAUAAAUCAUAUCAUAAUUUAUCCUACAUUUUAUUGUAAUAAAAUAAAAAUGAAAGAAAUGAAUUAGAGUGGCUUAAAGAUAAAAAAAAGAGCGAUACUAACUACCUACGAUGCUCGAACACUCUACUAUACUGUGUACUCGCUAAUAUGGUUGNAAAUGAAUUAGAGUGGCUUAAAGAUAAAAAAAAGAGCGAUACUAACUACCUACGAUGCUCGAACACUCUACUAUACUGUGUACUCGCUAAUAUGGUUGAUUUACAAUAAGUGUCCUCACUCGGAUAUAGAGAUUUUAAUUCUCAGUUAAUUUUUUGUAAUACUCGUUUGUUCCUUUUAUCUUUAGAACCAUUGCUCUAUAAAAUACACCUAAAUAAAAUUUUUAUACUUUAUUUCAGCCAAUUAGAAAUUUUUAAUAUAAAAAUAUAAAAAUAAUUUAUAAUAAAAAUUUGGGUAAAUUGUAUUGUUACCCCCUGAACUUUUGGCGAGUUUCACUUAACCCCCCAGACUCCUAAAAUAGACAUCUAACACCCUAAACUCUAAUAUUUCAUUCGUUUUACCCCUUCCGUCAGUUUUCGGUUAACGGAGCUUGACGGAAAACUGACGGAAGGGGUAACAUGAACGAAAUAUUAGAGUUUAGGGGGUUAGAUGUCCAUUUUAGAAGUUCGAGGGGUAAAAUGAAACUUCACCAAAAGUUCAGGGGGUGACAAUGCAAUUUACCCUAUAUAUAUAUAGAGUUUGACUAGGCUACUAUCGGCAGUAAACUGCUCGGUUUACUACCGAUUUGUUUUUUAUGAUAGAGCUUCCAAAUCGACGAUCGGCACCGUUGAACAUAAUCUAAACCAUUUAAAUUAUCUAGAAAUCAAAUUUCAUGAUUUUUUGGCAUCACUAACUGAACGAUUAAAGGGUCACAAAAUCUAUAAUUUUAAUGGCCGAUAUGGUGCGUUUGCUCGUUUAAUGAUAUAGAAGAGUUCAAAUCAACUAAAUUUUUGUUAAAAAAUUCUUUAAACUAUUUAAAAUAAGAUCUAGACUCUAUAUCUCAAAUAUAAAAAUUGUAUCAUCACUUUUUGAAGGAUAUUCAUUUCCAGCCAUUCAUUUUUUUGUUCACUUGAUGGACAAGAGAACAAUAUCGAAAAUGUAUGAAAUUUAAUUUUCAGAUAGUUUAAAUAGUUUAGAUCAUGUUUAACGUUGCCGAUCAUCAAUUUGGAAGCUCUAUCAUCGAAAACAAGUCGGAAGUAAACUGAGCCGUUUACUACCGAUAGUAUUCUAGCAAAACUAUAUAUAUAUAUAUAUAUAUAUAUAUAUAUAUAUGCUGGUAUACUAUCGAUAGUACAGAGGCCUCCGUGCUACCAAGUUAUUUUCAAUGAUGCGGUUUCCAAAUCGAUGAUCGGUUCCGUUAGACUUAAUCUACACUAUUGAAAGUAUUUGGAAACUAAAUUUCAUAAUUUUUCGGCAUCAUUUACCUAUCAAACGAGUAGUCUAAAAAUGAACGGCUGAAAAUAAAAAUCUCAUAAAAAAUGAUGAUAAAAGACUUAAAUUUAAAAUCAGAGGUACUAAUCUUACUCUAAAUAGCGAAAAAAAAUUUCUAUAAAAAUUUCAUCAGAUUUGGAUUGUUUUACACCGUUAAAUUCACAAACACAUCACAUCUAUCAUUAAAAUUGUCAAUUUUGAGACAUUUUGAUCACUAGCGCCAAAUGAUGCCGAAAAGUUAUAAAAUUUAAUUUUCAAAUACUUUUAAUAGUAUAGAUCAAGUCUAACGAAACCGAUUGUAGAUUUGAAAACCGCAUCAUUGAAAACAACUGGGUAGUAUGGAGGCCUCCGUGCUACCUAUAGUAUACCAAUCU